CUCACAGGUUUGUUCUCUUAGUUACAAGUGAAAUUGAAUACAUAUGUUGGAUGAUUGAGCUGUUUAUUAACUUUGAACGUAAGUUGACAUUUGUUUCAAACGCCCCGCCUAGUCGGGACGUUUGAAACACACAUGCGGGACGAAUGAAACAGCAUAUUUUAAAAAGAAUCCAUUGCCCUUACUCUUGUUUUUAUGCAACAUACUAGACAACAUACUAGUGUACUCUUCAUUGCUAAAAUUUCACAUAAUUCUGCAUAAUAUAAAUAGGUCAAAAUAUAUUUUUGGCCCGUGCGUAAUUGUCAAGAUGCACAUUUCGAUUCAAACUCACCUUUCUUCUUUUGGACGACUAAAUUUGGAUUAAAUUUACUUAUUUCCCUGUCCUAAGUCAUGUUUAAGCAUACACAGUUGAACAUCCUUUUAUUUAUUUUAAACAAAAACUACCAGGUCAACAGGAUAUCACGAGACCUGUUACAGCGGAAAUUUAUCCAAGCGCCGCACAGGGUUAAUUUCUUUUCGACACGCACAGCCCGGCGCAUAGAAGCAUCCGGAGUCUCUGUGGACAUGUAAGUGGCUAAACUUAUUUUAUCUGAUAAAUAUUGUGUAAUAGUCUGCACAUUGACAUGAACAUUAUGUUGAAAUCAUAUAAUAAGCAGAACUUGGAUUAAGAUUGCACUCUAGCUGAUAGAUGGUAAUGGCUGGAGAAAAAGAUAAAUCGGCAUGCCAUGUGUCAUGACCAAGAGCAAGGGUGUAGAAGGCUAGCCUAUAGAUUAUACCCAGCAGUUUUUAAGUGUGCAUGUCCACUAAAUUCAAUUAUUAUUGUCAUAAUUUAAUGUAGCCGUUGUUAUUUUGGAUGCGUUACAAUCAUGGACGAAAAGUAGGCCUACCCAGCGAAAUAUUUAAUAGCCCAGCUCCCACUCAUAGCCUAACCCAGGCCUAAUAGUUAGUUAGUUAAUCAGUCUAUAAUGUUAAGUGAAUUGUGCUGUAGGCCUACAUUUACAGUAUUUCCACUGCAAACUAGUGAAGACACAUGGACAGUAUAGUAGGCUAAAUAUUUGUAUUCUUUGUCACACAGGUGACACAGGUAGUGUGUACUCCCGUCGGUGCAAGCCUCAUGCGACCACUUAUAGCAAAAAUCACACUGGACCCAAGGUGGGGGUGACUCCAUCAGCGGGCCAGGUGAUGGUGGGAGGAGCAGCUGAGGUGGCACCAGGGGUGACUCCAGCAAGGGGGGCGGCAUCAGGAGCGGGCGAGAAGAGCCUCUUCUUGGGAGCCCGAGAGGAGGGAGGCUGCUUGGCGGGACGACGCCGCUUCAGAGUUCGGGGUGUCGUAAGUAUAGCAGUUGUCCUGAAAACAUUAAAUUGGACAUUUAAAUGCUAAUUGAAUUACUUUAAAUGUGGUAGGUCUACAUGACUGUAGACAAAGGAAGGCCAGACAAGAUAUGAGAUGCAAGAGUAACUCCAAAUGCCUCUUUCUCCCUUUUCUCUUUGUAAUCUUUCUAGGCCCGGCCUUAGGGUAAGACCGGACGAUGUCCAGGCUGAAUUUGAGGGCAUCUUCCUCAGGCCAGACAGCUUCGUCAGGCCCGGCAGCUCGUCCAGGUACAUCCAUGCCUGCCAAAGGACACAUUUAAAAAAUACACUUUGAAAUAAAAAAAUGUUUAUAAACCCACCCUCCUGAUCCUUGUUAAAUUCCCUGAUGUGAGAGUUGUAGCCUGGUGGUCUAGCAGCUUCUCUGCCGUCCACCAACCUAUGGACUUUUUUUUAUGAACUUUGACUUAUGGGACUAUUUACUUAUGUAUUAUGAACUCUGUUUAAUCCUCUGUUGCUUAUGAUGAACUGUUCCUACCUGAAGUGGCACCUGGAGAAGCGCUGACCUCGUCACCUGAAGCCUGGUGAGGAGGACGGUCUGUGGAAUAGGAUCCGGUGAAGUCCUUUUCCUCAAACGCGGAGGGUUUAAAAGGCCAGAUCCCUGGACUAGAGAACCCGGAGGUGGGACGGGUGAUUGUCCAGCAGGCGGAGCAGCUUCGACUCCUUGGACACGGGUGUGACUGGUGCAGUGGGCCAGGUACAGGAGGAAGUCUGGCUCCUACAUCCAGCCAGUUGGGUUGGCGGUGCCAGCACAGCCAACGGGUCCACCCCUCAGGAAGUGGUCUUCGAACCGCUUACGGGGGAAGAUAAAGAAUGGCGGAACAAGGUCGCCCUGCGCAUUGCCUGCCAGGGCAACUGUGACCAGGCAGGGUCCCCCUCUCCGCUGAGGUCACUGACCUGACCUGCUUCUGCCCCAUCUGGGCGACGACACGGUCUGGCACCUGGACAGUGGUGACCCCUGUAAAUAGUUGUCUGGACAACCGUUGUUGGCUAGUGGCCUCUGGACGCCGAUGGGGGAGGCUGCUACUGCGCUCCAUGAAGGAGGUGAAGCAGUCCUUCCUCGACCAGGAUGCAGGGAAUGGGCAGCUGAAAUGCACGGGGUCGUAAAAAGUUGAUGUACAUUUGCGUGUUUAUGUUUAUGUUAUUUGUUCAUAUUUAUUAAUUAAACUAUGCAUAGCAUACAUGUGUGCCUGUCCAAAAAUGUAUGUGGCCCUUUUCACAACACUGACCUCAUUAGGGGUGAGCCCAAUAUGAAUGGCUUCACUGCCCUCCUCUGCCCUCCCCUUGAGGUAGCGUGACAACGUGACAUGAGGUUGUCCCAUGCAGGAACCAGCCCACGGGAGGUGGUUCUCCUUCUGACGUGUGGCAUUUUUCUCUCAGUAAUCUGUUGAUGCAUGUGAUAAACACGUUUUGUUCAUUCAAAAUAUGUUAUUAAUUCAAAGCAGUAGUUAUUCAUUGCAAAACAUUUAUUAAUUCUGUGAUUUAUACAGGUAUUGAUCGUGCAAUGUGCGCGUAAUUACGCAUGGUGAUGUGCGGGACGUUUGAAACAAGUGUUUCAAUCGUCCCGACAGCGACUACUGACACUUACAUAUUUUUUACCUCUAAACUUCAAAACUCCGACAUUGCAUACUUUAUCACAGGUUUAAGUACUAAUUCAUCUGUUGUAUAGUCAUAUUAUUAUAGCAUGAAACAAAAAAUACAACUAUUUAUUACAAAAAAACUA